ensembl:lncRNA
GGAGCCGCUGCGCUCCCCGCGCCCCGGAGGACGGCGAUGGAGGUGCCCGAAAGGACCCCGGGCCGCGGGGCCGCUCACUCGCGAGUCCUUUCACUGCGUUUCCCUCUUUUCACCAGGGAAAGUUCUCCCGUGCGAUCGUUCCCAUAAGUUCUCGGCAGCACGCCUUCACUUAAAGCACGUUCGGGCUUUUCUAUCCCCAUGGCGUGCAGACAGCUCACCAGAAUUCACACCCGUCGUACGGACACGCGGUCCUUCGAAGAGCUAGAAAAGCUUCCCACCACCUCACGGUGUUAAAAGAACAUUUGUGACAGCAGGUUGUUUGUUUUGUCCUGGGAUACGAUAGUAAGGAGCCCGCUUAACUGCAAGCAAAGAACACGCAGUCUCCCGAGGAGCUGCAGGUUUGCAGGGCAGGCAGGCCCUUCGCUGUGCAGAAAUGUACGUGUGAGCUUCAGCCGUGCCUCCCAAACCUGGAGACUUCUUAGUUGGCUUUUUUUUUUUUUUUUCCCUCCCCGUGACCGCUCUAAGAGAUGCGAAAUUGUUCAUUCAUUAUCUCAACAUUCACUGCAAUAUUUCUGCUGCCAAUUGCUGUGGAUAGCUGCAGUGCCAAAUACGCCUUUACUGAAAGAUGAGCACAGAGGAAAGGAUGCAUUUCUCCUGGGAAAUAAUCUGUUAGCACUUUGCCCACACAUCUUAAGGACUCGACAACUCCCUUUUUUUCAGUCCUUUAGAUGGCAACUUUCUCUGGAGUUGGGCUCCUUCCACACUCUGAAGAUGAAUUUGUCACAGAAGUUAGACUUGCUUCUGAUAACUGAUACCUUCCUGUGUACGUUCUGUCAACGUAUCACAAAUACAUUGAUUCUGAAAAUACUUGGGCAAAUAACAACAGUAAUUUAAAGCAAUUUAAAUAGUCAAUGUGUGUAUUUAUGCAUACAGUAUGUGUGUACUUCACAUACCUGCACAUAUGCUACACACUGUGACAGUAGACAGUCUAUAUAUGCAUGGCACACGAUACCUGGCAUUCAGAGGACUGAGACCCCUUUCUGCACACACACUUCCACACGUCUGUGGGGUAUGCAUGUGUUCUUACAUCCUAAGUGAUAAGAGAUCAUUCUGAAUGCUGAAUUCUGAACAUAUUGCUCUUCAUCUCCCAAGGAGACAAACCUUCUGUGACUCUGUGGAGAACCAGCCAUUUCCUCUCCUGAUGACUUUUGGAUCCCUUGGCCAAUUUUAAUCAAACUUGACAGAGGAGCGAGUACACAGAGUACAAACUCUGUAGAAGUCAAGAACUGCAAAGAGGAGGGAAAGAAAACAUUUCCAGUGUAGGAAAGACCAGAACACAAGGAAAUUGCAACGUGGUCUGGGAGGCUGCCCACUAGCCAAGCCAUCAUGUGCGCAUGCAGCACAUCCCUGGCUCAAGAAACAGAAAGGAGCUUCUCUUUAUCCCCAGUGUUGUUAGAGGACAACACUGUACAUCUGAAUGCAAACAAGUGGAAAUUUGCAUGGAACUCUACUGGGUGAGUGGAGGAAAAGUAACUCUGGGUGGUUUUCUGCAGCUUACUGGGCUGGAAACAGUGCAGAAUAUCUGGCUACAGCCUGCCAGAAAGUAUAUGACAUGAUCACAGACUGGAAAUAAAUGGUUUGUCGGCCUGUACUAAAUGAGGGUAAAGAAAUAGACAAUGGAACCUGCAAGAUAUGUCUGCAAUUAUAUUCCACAUAACACUAAUGUUCAGCUGUAGAAGCUACCUCUUCCUUCCUGUUUUCUCUAUCAAAAGUCUAAGCAAAGGAACUGCCAAAUUUCAUUUAGCUGUUAGAUUGUACAGCUUCCACUGGACUUGUCAGAGAACCUACUGUUUACAUCAGUGCCUGAAAAGCCUUAACACUGAGAACGUCACUGAAAGUUCACUGCUUAGGGCACAGAGUUCUGCAGGAGCUGCAGUGCAAAUUCUUUGAUCCUUGUUCCAAACUACUCAGAGCUUGCUGAUCUUUCAGGAAUAUGACAUUAUUCAUCUUAUUCGUCUUUGGUUCAUCUUGUAUUCAAAAUUUUGGGAACAGAGGAGAAGAGUGGUUUUCAUUUCUAGCAAAAGGAUUGCCUAGCUUGAAUUUUACUUUUAUUUUUGUCUGGUCAUUUGGGUUUUGAUAUGAGAAGACAUUGCAGGAUUUAAAGGGUUGGAAUGGCAAAAACACUCUCUGAUAUCAGUGUUUUCUCAAAAGUUGCUUUGUCUUUUUCCUCUUAAUAUUACAUUUCAGCCUGCGAGCCAGCCUUCCUCCUGCCAACACCUGCUGGAACAUAAAGGAUUCUGAAACAACAACGAUCUGUCAGUUACAAAACAAUAGCUGGACUCUUUUUCACAUCGUUCUUGUACAAAGUUAGCCAUGUUCACCCAGAGACAUUUGAGUAAUAUAAGUCAAAUUAAAUAAAAGGGUGAAAGCAAAUUUAGAGCAAUAGUUAAAGUAAAGUAAAUCUCUGUGAGAUUACUUUUAUUGCAAACUGACUGUUUUUACUUUGUUUCUAUCCCUGCUCCAUUGAGUUUGUUACUUUUUCUAAUAAAUCUUGCCUUUAUUAAGUUUAUUGCUGUACAGAUCAUGUCAUGAAACUAUUUUCCCCAGUGGAACUCUUUUCUCUUCAGAAGAAGAAACACUGGGAGAUAAAACAGUGCCUUGAUCACAUCCUCCUCCUGCUGGUGGUGUUCAUAUUGAUGGGUGUGAUGCAAAUAAGAUGUGUAUUUGAGCAUAAACAUAAUUACAGUAUGUCUUUGUUGCGUGGCUGUCCCAUAACUUUAAAGAAACUUUGCCAAAUACAAUAUACUGCAAAUUUCUGUUACUUCUAUUUGUUUAUACUACUCUUAUUAUUAAAAUAAAUUAUCUUUUCACUUGAAAUGGCGAGUGCUAUUGACUGAGAUCCAUAGGAAUUUUUUUCAUAAGGAUAGGCUAAUCCCGUGGAAGGUGCUUUUUGUAUAGUCUAACUUUUGUCUUCUCAUAAGCAGUCACUUUCC